CCAAAGAAUACAGAAUGGGAGAGAAACAAAGGAAGCCUGGUGAUCCUAACGCCAGAGUGGAAGGAGGUGGAUUGUGACAAAUGGCUGGGAACAUGCUACAUGCCAAGGCCUUCAACUCAGUCAUGUGGGUAAGAGGUUUACUGUGAAGUCACAGAGCUCCAUUAUAUACUGACCUAGGAAAAUGUAAGAGUCCCUGUGCUUAGACAAUUGGAACAAGAGCCCACAGAAAAAGAAGCCAUGGAGCCACAGGUAAGCCAACCAUACCAACUAGAAACUGAAGCAAGACAAAAGCAGACUUUGCUGUGCCUGGUGAUAUAGAAAGGAGGUGGCAUUACUUUAUAAGAUACAAAUUCAUGAAAGAGAAAAACCAAACUCUUAUCUUACAAAAGCUCAAAAAUUAGAGAAGUGUCUUGAGAAGCUGAGAAGAUCUGACAUGUCAAAUCAAUCUGCCUCUUUAGAGAAACUGACUUGGAAAAGGAAUGAUGUCCACUUUGUCUUUUUUCCUGCUACAAAAAUACCUGUAGUUAUGGUGAAUGAACAUCAAGACAGACUUUGGGAUGUUGCCAAUUAACCAGCCAAGGCUGGGAUCAGUGACCUACUUUAAUAAGAACUAAAAACUUCAGGACUCUUAAAUGUGGAUGAAAUGGCUUCAUGUUCAUUACUCAGGAGUGGUCUAAAGGGACAAGAAGUCCUGGGAUCAUCCAGCUGCUUGGAAGAAUGAGUCAUCAGUAACACAGAUGGAAAAAAAACCCCAAAAACAAAACACUACCUCUGGCAGACAAUCCCUGACAGUCCUCUGAUCGAUAUUAAAUACCACCAUGUAACAGGUCACCGUGUUCAAUUGUCUGGGGUAACAUCUAGCCAUUCACUUACCCAGCAGACAUCUGGAGACCUGUACAAGGUCAUCAUUAAGGCUUUCCAGAGAGCAUUUUUGUGCCAUAAAGAACAUUUCUCUAAAGAUUUCAAACUCAAAACUACCUCUGACUUGCUCCAACUUGUUUGAAAUCAUCAGUGACCUAAAUACUGAGGCAAACUCCAAACUACAUUUUGAAGAAUAUCUGACUUGAUGAGAGGAUGUCCAUGGGAGCUCUUCAUCUAUUCUAGAAUACUGGGGUCUGGGCUUUAAAAUUUUCAUAAAAUUGGACAAAAAAAAAAAAAGAAAAGAAAAGAAAGCUUACCAUUUAUGUGGUCCUGUAUGUAUGGAGACCUAAUUAGCACUAUGGAAUGUCUGCUUUCCAGAAUGUCUUCAGAAUUGAACUUGAUUGAUUCCUAUCACAAAUAUGACUAACAUGAAAGAAAUUUGCCCAAUAGAACUUGAGAGAGUGGUCAAAUGCUGCUGCGAUUAGUUGCAUUAACAUCAUAUCAGGUGCUGGUUAAAACAGAGACUCCAAGCUCUCAUCUCAAACUACCUACAUUGAAAAUUCCAAGAAUAGAGCCCAACAGUUGGUAUUUUUAAUGAGGACUCUAUCUAGCUUUUAUGAGGACUCAAAUUGGAAGCCCCAGACUAAGGGACUAAGAAAGAAUCCACAUAGUCCUGUGGUGCUGGAGGCACUUCUGACUUUGUGAUGCAUUUAGCCUGGCAGAUACUUGGUACAAGGUCACCACUUGAAGGAUCAACUUCAUUAACACGUGUGCUUCAAUGUCAAAACAUCAGCUUUUAUUUUGAUGACUGCGUCAGUCUUUGCCAUGGAGUUAUUAGGAAGGAUACGGCUAAGAUACUCUUCACAUUAACUUUAUCUCCUUUCAAGAAAGAGCCCAAUGUUUUUCUUAUUGUAAAAUCUGGUGUUCAUCAUUUCUUCACUUUCCUUUAAGCUGUCAGGAAAAUCAAAACCAAACUGGUACCUAAAUGCAGCAAUUCCUUUAAUCCUCA